rnacentral:rRNA from 1 species
UACGAAGGGGGCUAGCGUUGUUCGGAAUUACUGGGCGUAAAGCGCGCGCAGGCGGCCUUUCAAGUCAGGGGUGAAAUCCCAGAGCUCAACUCUGGAAUUGCCUCUGAGACUGUGAGGCUUCGAGUACGGGAGAGGUGAGUGGAAUUCCCAGUGUAGAGGUGAAAUUCGUAGAUAUUGGGAAGAACACCGGUGGCGAAGGCGGCUCACUGGCCCGUUACUGACGCUGAGACGCGAAAGCGUGGGGAGCGAACAGG